rnacentral:lncRNA from 1 species
UAGAACAUGUCGCGGCAUCCGUCUUUCACUUGGUGGUCUUCAACGCGUGCACAUGUCUUUUUUUAAUGUCUAUUUGUGGAAGCGCAGUGAGUUAUAUAAAUGGAAACAAAAAUCCGUGCAGCUGCAAUCAUAAUGAGGUCCCUUGAAAGUAUAUGGCUGUAUAGAAUGUCCAACUACGUACAUACAUACAUAUUUGUACAUAGUCUGAGAGAAAAUUGAGACUGGAAAUGAUAUCGGUUUCAUCAUGCUGACUUAAGUGAAAGGGUACCGUCUGACCGUACCAGGCAAAAUAAAUGCUGAUAAAAUAUCUGGAGGGCAUUACGCAAACAUGAAUAUUGAAGAUAACAUGGUUUGUUUUGCGAUCAAAAAGAAUGUAAACAUCCAGUGAUAUAUCUAAUGGCUUUGACACGUAUGGUUUUCCAAAAUUUAACCUGUUGCUGUUUUAUAGAAAGCAGAUAAAACACCUGGUGGGCAUUACGCACGAUAUGAAUAUUGGAGAUAAUUGUGUUUCUGAUGCGGUAAAAAGAAAUUCGAACAUCCAGUCCUACAUCCAAGGGUUUGGACCCGUAUGCGUUUCCAGCCGCAAGACCUAGAAAGCUGACGUAACCAAGGUGUCGGAUAAGAAAAUAUGUUUUAAUAAAAAU